AUUGAACGCUGGCGGCAGGCCUAACACAUGCAAGUCGAACGAGUGGCGGACGGGUGAGUAAUGUCUGUGAACCUGCCUGAUGGAGGGGGAUAACUACUGGAAACGGUAGCUAAUACCGCAUACCAUCAGAUGUGCCCAGAUGGGAUUGGCCAGUUGGUGGGGUAACGGCUCCCCAGGGCGACGAUCCCUAGCUGGUCUGCGAGGAUGAUCAGCCACACUGGAACGGAUACACGGUCCAGACGCCGACGGGUGGCAGCAGUGGGGAAUAUGGCACAUUGGGCGCAAUGCGGAUGCAGCCAGGCCGCGUGUAUGACGAAGGCGUUCGGGUUGUAAAGUAUUUUCAGCUGGUAGGCGUUACCCGCAGAAGAAGCACCGGCUAACUCCGUGCCAGCAGCCGCGGUAAUAC
rnacentral:rRNA from 1 species